UCAGGAAUAGCCAUGGACCGAAAGAGAAAAGCAAACAUUUUGGAAGAUGAGAUCAGGGCAAUGGUAGAGGAGAUUGAAGACAUGCAACAUGUAUUUUUCGGUGGACAAAAUAGUGGGUUGACAAAGCCAAACAGGUAGCUUGGGAGUGUGUCUCCGAUGCAGUGAACGAGGUGGGGCAGCAAGACAGAACUGUGGCUGAUGUGAAAAAUAAAUGGUCAGACCUUAAACUGCAAUGGAAAAAAAUAAUAGCCAUACAUAACCGCAGCAUUAAGGAGCGAGAGGGGGCCCGGCACGCCGGAUCUCCCCCUAAUGGACCAGCGGAUCGGGGAAAUCAUUGGGGAAAGCGCAUACACUGACACAUGCUCCGACGGCAACGUGACAUCAGAAAGUGACGUCGGAGUGCGAAACCCGAAAACUGCAUCACUGGAUCACGAAAAUGGGGGAAGCUGCGUUGCAGACCGUGCACCGGGUGAGGGUGCCCACUCCACCAAGGGAAGCUGUGUUGCAGCCCGUGCUCCCUCCACC